GAGAUUCCCCCAGUAGCGGCGAGCGAACGGGGAGCAGCCCAGAGUCUGAAUCAGCUUGUGUGUUAGUGGAACGGUCUGGAAAGUCCGACGGUACAGGGUGAUAGUCCCGUACACCAAAAUGCACAGGCUGUGAACUCGAAGAGUAGGGCGGGACACGUGGUAUCCUGUCUGAAUAUGGGGGGACCAUCCUCCAAGGCUAAAUACUCCUGACUGACCGAUAGUGAACCAGUACCGUGAGGGAAAGGCGAAAAGAACCCCGGCGAGGGGAGUGAAAAAGAACCUGAAACCGUGUACGUACAAGCAGUGGGAGCACCUUCGGGUGUGACUGCGUACCUUUUGUAUAAUGGGUCAGCGACUUAUAUUCUGUAGCAAGGUUAACCGUAUAGGGGAGCCGCAGGGAAACCGAGUCUUAACUGGGCGUUAAGUUGCAGGGUAUAGACCCGAAACCCGGUGAUCUAGCCAUGGGCAGGUUGAAGGUUGGGUAACACUAACUGGAGGACCGAACCGACUAAUGUUGAAAAAUUAGCGGAUGACUUGUGGCUGGGGGUGAAAGGCCAAUCAAACCGGGAGAUAGCUGGUUCUCCCCGAAAGCUAUUUAGGUAGCGCCUCGUGAAUUCAUCUUCGGGGGUAGAGCACUGUUUCGGCUAGGGGGUCAUCCCGACUUACCAACCCGAUGCAAACUACGAAUACCGAAGAAUGUUAUCACGGGAGACACACGGCGGGUGCUAACGUCCGUCGUGAAGAGGGAAACAACCCAGACCGCCAGCUAAGGUCCCAAAGUCAUGGUUAAGUGGGAAACGAUGUGGGAAGGCACAGACAGCCAGGAUGUUGGCUUAGAAGCAGCCAUCAUUUAAAGAAAGCGUAAUAGCUCACUGGUCGAGUCGGCCUGCGCGGAAGAUGUAACGGGGCUAAACCAUGCACCGAAGCUGCGGCAGCGACACUAUGUGUUGUUGGGUAGGGGAGCGUUCUGUAAGCCUGCGAAGGUGACCUGUGAGGGUUGCUGGAGGUAUCAGAAGUGCGAAUGCUGACAUAAGUAACGAUAAAGCGGGUGAAAAGCCCGCUCGCCGGAAGACCAAGGGUUCCUGUCCAACGUUAAUCGGGGCAGGGUGAGUCGACCCCUAAGGCGAGGCCGAAAGGCGUAGUCGAUGGGAAACAGGUUAAUAUUCCUGUACUUGGUGUUACUGCGAAGGGGGGACGGAGAAGGCUAUGUUAGCCGGGCGACGGUUGUCCCGGUUUAAGCAUGUAGGCUGGUUGUCCAGGCAAAUCCGGAUAAUCAAGGCUGAGGUGUGAUGACGAGGCACUACGGUGCUGAAGUAACAAAUGCCCUGCUUCCAGGAAAAGCCUCUAAGCAUCAGGUAACAUUAAAUCGUACCCCAAACCGACACAGGUGGUCAGGUAGAGAAUACCAAGGCGCUUGAGAGAACUCGGGUGAAGGAACUAGGCAAAAUGGUGCCGUAACUUCGGGAGAAGGCACGCUGGUGUGUAGGUGAAGUCCCUGCGGAUGGAGCUGAGACCAGUCGAAGAUACCAGCUGGCUGCAACUGUUUAUUAAAAACACAGCACUGUGCAAACACGAAAGUGGACGUAUACGGUGUGACGCCUGCCCGGUGCCGGAAGGUUAAUUGAUGGGGUUAUCCGUAAGGAGAAGCUCUUGAUCGAAGCCCCGGUAAACGGCGGCCGUAACUAUAACGGUCCUAAGGUAGCGAAAUUCCUUGUCGGGUAAGUUCCGACCUGCACGAAUGGCGUAAUGAUGGCCAGGCUGUCUCCACCCGAGACUCAGUGAAAUUGAACUCGCUGUGAAGAUGCAGUGUACCCGCGGCAAGACGGAAAGACCCCGUGAACCUUUACUAUAGCUUGACACUGAACAUUGAGCCUUGAUGUGUAGGAUAGGUGGGAGGCUUUGAAGCGUGGACGCCAGUCUGCGUGGAGCCAACCUUGAAAUACCACCCUUUAAUGUUUGAUGUUCUAACGUUGGCCCCU
rnacentral:rRNA from 1 species